CACUAUAGUGCCCUGAGGGUGCCCCCACCCUCAGGGUCCCCCUCCCGCCCGGCUCUGGAAGGGGUAAAGGGGUUAAAACUUACCUUUUUCCAGCGCUGGGCGGAGAGCUCUCCUCCUCCGAUCCUCCUCUUCUCCUCCCCGUCGGCUGAAUGCGCACGCGCGGCAAGAGCUGCGCGCGCAUUCAGCCGGUCACAUAGGAAAGCAUUCAUAAUGCUUUCCUAUGGACACUGGCGUGCUCUCACUGUGAAAAUCACAGUGAGAAGCACGCAAGCGCCUCUAGCGGCUGUCAAUGAGACAGCCGCUAGAGGAAAUAG